CGUAGGUGGCAAGCGUUGUCCGGAUUUAUUGGGUUUAAAGGGUGCGUAGGCGGCCUUGUAAGUCAGUGGUGAAAUACUCUAGCUUAACUAGAGGGGUGCCAUUGAUACUGCAGGGCUUGAGUACAGACGAGGUAGGCGGAAUUGACGGUGUAGCGGUGAAAUGCAUAGAUAUCGUCAAGAACUCCGAUAGUGAAGACAGCUUACUAGGCUGUAACUGACGCUGAGGCACGAAAGUGUGGGGAUCAAACAGGAUUAGAUACCCUGGUAGUCCACACUGUAAACGUUGAUGACUCGAUGUUGGCGAUACACAGCCAGCGUCCAAGAGCAAUCGUUAAGUCAUCCACCUGGGGAGUACGCCGGCAACGGUG
rnacentral:rRNA from 1 species